rnacentral:sRNA from 1 species
AAUUCUAAUAACAUUCUCAUCAAGUUUUCAAAAAUAUAUUCCUACUAGAUUUUAACCCGCGGUAUACCGCGGGGACAACUUAUUUUUUAAAUUAGUAUAUAUAAAAGUUUGCAAAUUAAAUCUAUUUAUUUUUAUUUUAUAGUUUGCAAUUGUUAUUAAGUAACGUCCUACCAAACCCGUCUCGCCAAAUCCGUCCCCUAAAAAAAACCCGCGGUACACCGCUAAUUUAAAUAUAUAAUUAAAAUAAAUAUUUUACGGGAUUGCAAUUGUAUUUUGGUUUGUCAAACAAAUAUUUGUUUUAAAUAGUUGCCAAAAUCUAGUUCAAAUUUUGGAGAAAAAAGAUUUAUUGGAUAGAUAAAGAAUGUAUUUAGGUGUGUUUUGCUCAUUUUAAGGGAUUGCAAUUAUAUUUUUGUUUGUCAAACAUUUUUUGUUUUAAAUAGUUGCUGAAUAUAUUUGGAAUAGUUUUAGUUUGUUAAUCAAUUUAUUGCUGGAAAAAAAUCAAUAAUUAAAAGCCAAUGGCAGCCAUUGUAAAUAAGUCCUAACUCCAGGAUUUAUUUCACAAAAUGGCUGCAAAAAUAUAUAUAUAGAUAAGCUAUUUUCCAAUUUUUUUGUAUUUUUAUAAUAAAAUAUAAGUAUAGCUA